rnacentral:rRNA from 1 species
UACGUAGGGGGCAAGCGUUGUCCGGAUUUAUUGGGCGUAAAGAGCGUGUAGGCGGCCAAGCAGGUCCGCUGUGAAAACUCGAGGCUCAACCUCGAGACGUCGGUGGAAACCGUUUGGCUAGAGUCCGGAAGAGGAGAGUGGAAUUCCCGGUGUAGCGAUGAAAUGUGCAGAUAUCGGGAAGAACACCCGUGGCGAAGGCGGCUCUCUGGGACGGUACUGACGCUGAGACGCGAAAGCGUGGGGAGCGAACAGG